CAUGCAAGUCGAACGAAGUAGCAAUACUUAGUGGCAGACGGGUGAGUAACAUGUAGGUAUCUGCCCUUUGGCCUGGAAUAACACGAGGAAACUUGUGCUAAUACCGGAUAAGUCUUUACGGAGAAAGCUUUAUGCACCAUUGGAUGAGCCUGCACUUGAUUAGUUUGUUGGUAGGGUAAUGGCCUACCAAGACUGUGAUCAAUAGCUGAUUUGAGAGGAUGAUCAGCCACAUUGGGACUGAGACACGGCCCAAACUCCUACGGGAGGCAGCAGUGGGGAAUCUUGCACAAUGGAGGAAACUCUGAUGCAGCGAUGCCGCGUGAGUGAAGAGGGCCCUUGGGUUGUAAAGCUCUUUCGUCGGGGAAGAAAAUGACUGUACCCGAAUAAGAAGGUCCGGCUAACUUCGUGCCAGCAGCCGCGGUAAUACGAAGGGACCUAGCGUAGUUCGGAAUUACUGGGCUUAAAGAGUUCGUAGGUUGUUGAAAUAGUUGGUGGUGAAAUCCCAGAGCUUAACUCUGGAACUGCCAUCAAAACUUUUCAGCUAGAGUAUGAUAGAGGAAAGCAGAAUUUCUAGUGUAGAGGUGAAAUUCGUAGAUAUUAGAAAGAAUACCAAUUGCGAAAGCAGCUUUCUGGAUCAUUACUGACACUGAGGAACGAAAGCAUGGGUAGCGAAGAGGA
rnacentral:rRNA from 1 species